UCCACUAUCGAAUGCUCCAGAGGAUGACU
rnacentral:piRNA from 1 species